CACUCAUUCUGACUUUAAGAAUACGUUUUAAAAAAUACAAAUAAAGGAUAAAAAUCUGAAAACGUAUGUACCAUGCAUUGAAUGCCUACACUACUCAUAAAGGGAAAGGAAUAUUUUCUAAUUGAUCAUCUAAUAAAUUUCAUUUUGUCUUAAUAAAAUUGAGAAUGGAAAUGGGAUAUGUUUCAAACAGAAAACAACCCGACCAACGGUAAACUCUAAGAUGGG
rnacentral:lncRNA from 1 species